GACAAUGGGGGCAACCCUGAUCCAGCAAUGCAGCGUGUGUGAAGAAGGCCUGAGGGUUGUAAAGCACUUUCAAUUGGGAGGAAAAGCUGAAGGUUAAUACCCUUCAGUCUUGACGUUACCAUUAGAAGAAGCACCGGCUAACUCCGUGCCAGCAGCCGCGGUAAU
rnacentral:rRNA from 1 species